AUUAGACCUGGAGAGUUUGCUUUGCUUCAGUUUUCUUUGCUAUGAUUUCAACACUAAAAGGGACUUGUUCUCAAAUGUUAAUUGUCUUCUUCAUAAGAUCUCCAUUGCAUUAAGUUGAAACCAUUGAAGUGUAUUGGUGGUCACAAUGCUUUACACUGUAUGCAGCAAACACCCUUACAAGUCUAUCCGCAACCUGAUCACACAAGAAAGGAUUCACCACUCGCCAGAGAAGGAAGAAAAAAAUUAAUAGGUUUGUUUCUAGAGGUAGAGGAGAGAAAU